CAGCAGCCGCGGGAAUACGUAGGGUGCGAGCGUUAAUCGGAAUUACUGGGCGUAAAGCGUGCGCAGGCGGUUAUAUAAGACAGAUGUGAAAUCCCCGGGCUCAACCUGGGACCUGCAUUUGUGACUGUAUAGCUAGAGUACGGUAGAGGGGGAUGGAAUUCCGCGUGUAGCAGUGAAAUGCGUAGAUAUGCGGAGGAACACCGAUGGCGAAGGCAACCCCCUGGACCUGUACUGACGCUCAUGCACGAAAGCGUGGGGAGCAAACAGGAUUAGAUACCCCAGUAGUCCCUGUCUCUUAUAC
rnacentral:rRNA from 1 species